rnacentral:rRNA from 1 species
GCUUACACAUGCAAGUCGAACGAACUCUUCGGAGUUAGUGGCAGACGGGUGAGUAACGCGUGGGAAUAUACCUUUCGGUACGGAACAACAGUUGGAAACGACUGCUAAUACCGUAUGCGCCCUAUGGGGGAAAGAUUUAUCGCCGAAGGAUUAGCCCGCGUUGGAUUAGCUAGUUGGUGGGGUAAAGGCCUACCAAGGCGACGAUCCAUAGCUGGUCUGAGAGGAUGAUCAGCCACACUGGGACUGAGACACGGCCCAGACUCCUACGGGAGGCAGCAGUGGGGAAUAUUGGACAAUGGGGGCAACCCUGAUCCAGCCAUGCCGCGUGAGUGAUGAAGGCCCUAGGGUUGUAAAGCUCUUUCAGCGAGGAGGAUAAUGACGUUACUCGCAGAAGAAGCCCCGGCUAACUUCGUGCCAGCAGCCGCGGUAAUACGAAGGGGGCUAGCGUUGUUCGGAAUCACUGGGCGUAAAGCGCACGUAGGCGGAUUGGUCAGUUAGGGGUGAAAUCCCAGAGCUCAACUCUGGAACUGCCUUUAAUACUGCCAGUCUUGAGUCCGAGAGAGGUGAGUGGAACUCCGAGUGUAGAGGUGAAAUUCGUAGAUAUUCGGAA